GACGAACGCUGGCGGCGUGCCUAAUACAUGCAAGUCGAGCGAAGUUUUUCUGGUGCUUGCACCGGAAAAACUUAGCGGCGAACGGGUGAGUAACACGUAAAGAACCUGCCUCAUAGACUGGGACAACUAUUGGAAACGAUAGCUAAUACCGGAUAAUAGCAUUAACUGCAUGGUUGAUGUUUAAAAGUUGGUUUUCCUAACACUAUGAGAUGGCUUUGCGGUGCAUUAGCUAGUUGGUGGGGUAAAGGCCUACCAAGGCGACGAUGCAUAGCCGACCUGAGAGGGUGAUAGGCCACACUGGGACUGAGACACGGCCCAGACUCCUACGGGAGGCAGCAGUAGGGAAUCUUCCGCAAUGGGCGAAAGCCUGACGGAGCAACGCCGCGUGAGUGAAGAAGGAUUUCGGUUCGUAAAGCUCUGUUGUUAGGGAAGAAUGAUUGUGUAGUAACUAUACACAGUAGAGACGGUACCUAACCAGAAAGCCACGGCUAACUACGUG
rnacentral:rRNA from 1 species